rnacentral:lncRNA from 1 species
CGUCGUUCGGCAUGAUCGGGCGGGCGGGCCAACUGGUUUUUUGACAUUGCGCGGGAUGGGGGGUGUGUCUUCUUGCUGGCAGGGGUUCAUGGUGCCCGGUUAGAGGCUUGAGUGAUGUUACCAGGUGUACGUUGGGACUUGUGAAACUGUGUUGUCACCGGUCACACCUGGUUUGUGCUUGGACUUCAAAAUGCCGGCCUUUCUAUGGACAUUUUGUAGCAGGCAUACAUAUAGAAUAAUGAUGCAAGAAAGAAAUCCUACACCUGAGUUACUUCCUCCGGUCCUUUUUAGUUUGCAUAUAAGUUUUAUCCAAAGUCAAACUAUCUCUACUUUGACCAAUCAUAUUGGAAAAAGCAUCAACAGUCUCAAAAUAUUGCUAGGCUAUGAAAUGUAGUUUCAUAGGAUAUACAUUUGGUAUUGUAAAUGUUGAUAUUUCUUAAUAUAAAUUUGGUUAAACUUUGCAAUGUUCGACAAAAAUCUACUCUCUCCGUUCGGAAUUACUCGUCCAAUAAAUGAAUGUAUCUAGAUGUAUUUUAGUUGUAGAUACAUCCAUUUUUAUUCAUUUUUGUGACAAGUAAUCCCAAACGGAGGGAGUAAUACACGCAGUAGAAAGGAUCGGAGGGAGUACCUCUAAAGUCUAAAUGUAUAAUGCAAAAUGGGAACAUUGGUCUUACCAUUUGGGGUUGCCAUAGAAUUUCUCUCUUCGUUUUUUUUGUUGAUAAAGGGAUUUUCUUUCUCCCCAGUUACAUUAGCGAAACCAUAGCAAUCCUUACAUGGGAGACAGAAAACAGCAUGCCCGCGUGUGAUUCUUCUGCCUAUAGUAUGAUUACUUGUCACCAGAUCACAUAUCUUGCACUUUUUUUAACUCAAACUACACGCAUAUAUAUAAUUUGGAAAAUUCCAAAGAAACAAAACUUUCAAAAACAUCAACUCUAUUGCAUGAAAUCAUCAACAUCUCGGCAUAUUUACAAGAUACUCCUGAGCUUUGACUACGACAACGCGCCAUUAUUUUGCUGACUUACUCAAAAUAAACAACGGGGUACUACGAGCACAUAGCUGGUCAGUUUGGAACACACAGAGUUUCUUUUCCAGCUAGCUUCUGCACAAGUGAAAAAAAAAGGAUUGUCAGUAAAAAAAACAUCAAUGAGAUGUCAAUAGAACGAAAUUUCUAAUGGGAUUUUUAUCAAUCAAUGAGUAUAUGAAUAGAAGAAAAAUGAAGUAUGGCAAUUGCAGUAUGUGAGAAAAUACAAAAGAUAAAUACAUCAUUAAUCAUGCCGUGGACCAAUUUUGAACAUCCUACAAAAAUCGGACACAUCCAUGGGGAAAAACAUAGCUGUGUGAAGACAGCAAUUCAAUAUCUACAUACUCUUGCUGUCUAUAGAUAUAGCUCAUUUCCUUCUUUAUGUUAAGGUCAAGCAGUCAGUGUUAAAGAACAUAUCUAAAUUAAAUAAUUCCCAGUGUUUUUCUAUGUCAUAGCAAAGUCUUUUAGCUUUGACAUAAUUUGGUUUGUACCUUGGCUAAUAUACUGUUACCUCUUGAAGUGAAGUUCAGCAAAACUGGGGUAACUAGGUAUAAGAGCUCCAAGCAAGGAGCUGACUUUUUUUAAUUUACUUGGUUACUAACUUACUAAUGAAAUAUUUUUGCAGUUAACCACAUGACUCACUUUUGGUAUUAAGUCCGUAUAAUUGUAAAUGUAGUAAGUAAAUAACUUAUUCUAGUGUCUAAUGUAUGUGCUCAUUUUAGUUUUAAAUUUUCACAGUUUAGAGUUUCUAUAUGCAUUGAUAAAAUGACUGAUUUCAAAAUUUUGUAGACAGUUCGAUAAGCAGCAUAAGCGAAUAGAUAAGUAAUUCACUCAGAAAUUGAUUCUCCUCUACCCGGGUUCAGUAAUAAAUAAAGUAAUGUCUUGCAUAUAUGUUUUAUCUUGUUACCUCAAUUAAACACUUAGCGCAAUGAAUUCAUAUUUUUUAUUCAUAACGAACAACAGAAACUAUCCAGAUUUGUUCUUGAGCGGCAAACCUAGUUAGCUGUUUUUCACUUCCUUCAUUUCUUUAUGCAAGACAUCAUGCAUCACAAGAUUCAAGUUUGACCAACAAUUAGAUCAAUAAAAUGUGGGUUAUAUGACAAAGAGAUAAUACCAUUGGAAAAAGCUUUUCAGUACAAACCCAAUGAUAUCAUUUUCUUUGUCAAAUAAACAACAUUUUAUUAAUCUAAUUGUCAGCCAAACUUGAACCCUGACAUGCUAAAUAUCUCACAAAAAGAAAACCUACUGAGUGUUUUUCACUUGAAAACCUACUGCUUGUUAUACAUGGUGUAUCUCUGUGUUCUUAAGCAUUGGUAUAAUACUAACUGCACAAAGUAUCAUCUCCCAUCUUCAGAGUUAAUGACAAUCUGGAAAGAUGAGAGAUAAUAUUUUGUAAUGUUAGCCAUGCAUAAACUCAAAUGGGAGCCUUGGCACAGUGGUAAAGCUGCUACCUUGUGACCAUGAGUUCAAGUCCUGGAAACAGCCUCUUAAAGGAAUGUAGGGGAAAGGCUGCAUACAAUAGACCCAAAGUGGUCGGACCCUGCGCAAGCGGGAGCUACAUGCACCGGGCUGCCCUUUUUUAGCCAUGCAUAAACUCGUAAGGAAGAGAACAAAAAAAGUGAAGUGCUAGUGUGCACCUUUGUUGUUGUCCGAUAAUUAUUAUUUUUGCCUCAAAUACUUCCACAUAAUAAACUACUCCCUCCAUUCCAAAUUACUCGUCAUGGUUUUAGUUCAAAUUUGAACUAAAACCACGACGAGUAAUUUGGAACGGAGGGAGUAAAAUGUUAAACUAAAACCACGACAAGUAAUUUGGAACGGAGGGAGUAAAAUGUUAAACUAAAACCACAACAAGUAAUUUGGAACGGAGGGAGUAAAAUGUUAACUACUACCUGUCCUGUGCUAGACAAAGUUAUUAGAAUUGCAUCUCUGGCAAUAAGUCUCACCUAGAAUAAAAACAUCACACCUUAAUGAAUUAUUUUCUCAUUCACACAUUAUGCGAUAGUAUAUUAAUAACCACACAAAUUUGUCAUAGUAUGGAUACCUGUGAGAAUAACAGGAAAGCUAAGGUAUGCAGUGCACUAUGUACUAUGUUAGUCUCUUUCUAAAGAAUAGAAACAAGGUAUUUUUUUUCUCAGAUAGAUAGUACUUUGUGUACAUAUUGGUACACUAAUGCUCAAGACCAGAAAAAAAAAA